GUCUACAACUAUGCCACCCUGAACAAGCCCUAUGUCUGAUCUUGGAAGCUAAACAGCUCGGGCCUAGUUAGUACUUGGAUGGAAGACCACCUAGGAAGACCAGGUGCUAUAGGCA
rnacentral:rRNA from 1 species